rnacentral:rRNA from 1 species
CCUACGGGUGGCAGCAGUGAGGAAUAUUGGUCAAUGGGCGUAAGCCUGAACCAGCCAAGUCGCGUGAGGGAAGACGGCCCUAUGGGUUGUAAACUUCUUUUGUCAGGGAGCAAUUGGCUCUACGCGUAGUGUUAGCGAGAGUACCUGAAGAAAACGCCUCGGCUAACUCCGUGCCAGCAGCCGCGGUAAUACGGAGGAUGCGAGCGUUAUCCGGAUUUAUUGGGUUUAAAGGGUGCGUAGGCGGAAUGCCAAGUCAGCGGUAAAAUCGCGGGGCUCAACCCCGCGCCGCCGUUGAAACUGGUGUUCUUGAGUGGGCGAGAAGCAUGCGGAAUGCGUGGUGUAGCGGUGAAAUGCAUAGAUAUCACGCAGAACUCCGAUGGCGAAGGCAGCAUACCGGCGCCCAACUGACGCUGAAGCACGAAAGCGUGGGUAUCGAACAGGAUUAGAUACCCCAGUAGUC